ACCGUGCGAAGGUAGCGUAAUCACUUGUUCUUUAAAUGAGGACUAGUAUGAAUGGCACCACGAAGGUUAUACUGUCUCCUUUUUCUAAUCAAUGAAACUGAUUUCCCCGUGAAGAAGCGGGGAUAAAAAUAUAAGACGAGAAGACCCUAUGGAGCUUUAAACUAUAUAACACUGGCUUAUACACCUACACAUUUCAGAAUUACAGUAUCCAUUCUAGCCUUCAUGUCUAUUAGUUUUAGGUUGGGGUGACCGCGGAGUAAAAAUUAACCUCCACAUUGAACGGAACCUAUUCCUGAGCCAAAAGCUACAACUUCAAGCACCAACAAAAUGACAUUAAUUGACCCAAUAUUUUGAUCAACGAACCAAGUU
rnacentral:rRNA from 1 species